UCAAUAAUCAAAUUCUGCCCAAUAUGAUACAUCCAUCUUGCGACAAUUUUAUCAAUCCAAACACCAAAGUUUCUAGGCGAAAUAAAGAUAAUUCUGCUAUUUCCAGGACUCACUGGCAUACAUAUAAAGAUCAAAAGCAAUUGUCGAGGUGGCUUUUGACUUAAUUGCCCCUGAAAAUCAAUCGAAUUGAUGUAAUUAAGUACCAAAAGGAUAAAGUAUAAAUUAAAUGCAUUACCUUUGUGUUUCCUGCUGAGGUGGCAGACACGUCAUCUGGAUUUCCCCCGAUUGUUGCACUUCCAUAAAACAAACAAGGAGGAACGAAUUGCCAUUGACUAUUUUGUUGGUUUGCAGUGAAACCAUUUUUGUCUAUUUUGUUUACGUUUAUUUCAAGAGGUCUUCCCCC
rnacentral:lncRNA from 1 species